GGCCCCUGCUGCCUGGCUCCUCUCAUUGUUUUUCCAGAACUGGCAAGUUCAGGCAUGUGGCUGCUGGCUGCACCUCCCCGGGUGCCUGCCACCUUGGACAACGGCGGUAGUUCCUACCCAUGCUCCCUUCUUCAUGCCAUUUUUACAGAGAUGUUGAUGUCUCUCUUCUUGCCGAGAGUCUCCAUCAUUUUGCAAAGUUUCCCUAAGAAACUGACAAUGGUGGCAUAGCUUUGCACAGAUGCACUUGGCUUCCUGUGGGGACACCGGAGCCAUGGAGCUGUGGCUCCUAGCCAACAGGUCCCACACACCUACAGAGCAGACAUAGAACUCACUGAGGACUUUAAAUGCAGCUUUUGACUUUGUCUGCCGGACAGCCUCGUCCUGUGUGCACUCCAUCCUCCCUACCCUUCCUGGCAGUGUCCUCAAAUGUAGAUUCCUAAAAAAAAAUCUCAGGGCAGAUGCAAGCUUGAACUUCUUCAGACACAUACAUUCUCAGGCUUACAAACAUAAGUGUGAAGGCUAUAUUGUUUGCUUUAAAUGAAAUAGGUAUCCGUAUUUCUAAAAGUACAAGAAAUUUAAAUAGUGGAUUUUUUUUUUUUUUUGGACAAGUCUUACUUUAUAGCCUAGGCUGACCUCAAAGUUUUUGUCUUGUCUCACGUCCCAAGCACUGCAGCUGGUAAGUACGAGCCCCUGCCCAAUAGUGAAACUAAGUUUUAUUGUUCUUAUUUCAGAUCUUAACAGGUCUUAACAUUUAAAACUGCACCGACUUUGGGCUAUAGCACACUAACUCAGCCCUUCCUUUCAGAAGUCAUGUUAUCCAUACAUCUACCUGCAGAUAAGGAAACAAUUCUUUCUGCAAGUAAACAGUCAGGCUGCUGGAGUGCCGGUGCUGGCUGGGACUGAGCUCUGUCCACUACAGCUACUCUGAAGCCAUCCAUCCCCUGUCCCGAAAGCAGCCUGUGGAGUCAAGGGAGGACCCCUCCAGGAUGCAGAUGUCCUUUAUCCAGCUGGGAGAGAAGACUCCUUGCGGAAGUGGCCCCUGGAUUUUCCACUGUGGCACGUACCUGCCUCUUCUCGGAGGAUGGACGAGUCGAACCGGGCACAAGCAUGGAGCUGCGGAUGAGUCCUGGCUGGUACUGGCGCGGCGCAGCGAGCAGUGGCUGACGCAGAGGGCUCCCUGGCCUCGCUCGGUGCCUGCCCGCCUCUCCCCCACCUCCGCCGGGGGCCCAGAAAGGACCUCCCCGGGAAAUCGGCGCCACCCAGCGGGCAGCAGCCUCAUUGCGCCCGGGCCGGCCAAACCACACCCCGCGUUUGCGUCACUGAUAUACGUCAUGGCUAUUGGCUUGUUCCUAUUGUUGCGUCAGUAGAGCCCCGCCCGGCGCGCAUCUCCCAGGUAACCGGGUAUAUACAGAGAACCACGUGGAGAAAAAGCACGCCUGUUUGGAGCCGGUGGCGCAAGGAAAGAAGUGGACUGGAAUCUGAUAGGUCCUGGCGCUGGGAAGACUGAGACAGAGGGUCACUUCACGGGAAAAGGCAACAUUCCAGCUUUCAGAUCUUAGAGAAGGCUUUCCUACCGGGCUGGGAAUGUUCUAUUCCAUAGACUCUUUUUCUGCCUACUUUUUUAUUUUAUUUAUUUAUAUUUAAAAAUGCAUUUAUUUAAACAACCAUGUAUAUCUCAUAGCAAUAUUUAUAGAGCCCCAUAGGUCAAUCAAUCAGGUAAAAAAAGAUUAUGUCCAUUCAACACACUAUCAACGUACAUGACUAUUCAAGUGACGCAUUCUAUGGGCUACUUAUUAAGUACAUUACUAGACAUGGUGAUAAGUACUUUGCAUAUAUUAGCUUUCUCAUUUAAUCUUUUUAAUGGUCCUGUAAAAGAACCACUAUAGUCAUCUAUUGCACAAUGUAGCUGAAGCCUAGGGAGACCAUGUUCAAGUGGUAAAUAAAUGUCAAGUGUCUUGUA